rnacentral:rRNA from 1 species
CCCUGUGAACAUACCUAUACGUUGCCUCGGCGGAUCAGCCCGCGCCCCGUAAAACGGGACGGCCCGCCCGAGGACCCUAAACUCUGUUUUUAGUGGAACUUCUGAGUAAAACAAACAAAUAAAUCAGAACUUUCAACAACGGAUCUCUUGGUUCUGGCAUCGAUGAAGAACGCAGCAAAAUGCGAUAAGUAAUGUGAAUUGCAGAAUUCAGUGAAUCAUCGAAUCUUUGAACGCACAUUGCGCCCGCCAGUAUUCUGGCGGGCAUGCCUGUUCGAGCGUCAUUUCAACCCUCAAGCUCAGCUUGGUGUUGGGACUCGCGGUAACCCGCGUUCCCCAAAUCGAUUGGCGGUCACGUCAAGCUUCCAUAGCGUAGUAAUCAUACACCUCGUUACUGGUAAUCGUCGCGGCCACGCCGUAAAACCCCAACUUCUGAAUGUUGACCUCGGAUCAGGUAGGAAUACCCGCUGAACUUAAGCAUAUCAA